UUAAUUAUAAGUAAGGGUAUAUUUGUAAUCUUAAGAUUUAAUUAAUAAUUAUAACUAAAUAAAGAAAAUAAGAAAACCUAUAAUUAUGGAAUGUUUCCUUAACUUUCUCUGUAACCCUAUUUAACUUUUCCACAUCUUUCUUUGAACUCGUCAGCAACACCUAACAACCAAAUCUACAACCUAAUACCUCAAACUGGAUGCCGACCACUUGCACCACCGUCUGUUGUCAACCAUCUUCCUUCAUCGGCGUCGCCCUCCUUCCCCACAUCAAAUGGAGCCGCUGAAUCUUUUCUCCACUACAGCGCAUCACUACCAGAAUCUUCAACAUCUAAGCAGAGAAACACAUCGAGCAUUUAGGAAAAAAUGGGGUUUCCGACGAGUCGGCAAUGAAGCACGUCAACGUAUAGAAAUUAAAUCACACGUUUGAUAACUCUUCUGGGGAUGAACACAAUGUAGAUCAGAAAUUCGGUAAUGUCAAGGAUUCUAGUCGAAUGAAGUUGUGAAGAAAAAAAGAAGAUAUGGGACUUGCUUUGAACUUCUAUGUUUUUUUUAGGUUUU